rnacentral:rRNA from 1 species
UACGAAGGGGGCUAGCGUUGCUCGGAAUUACUGGGCGUAAAGGGCGCGUAGGCGGUACUUCAAGUCAGGCGUGAAAGCCCCGGGCUCAACCUGGGAACCGCGCUUGAGACUGGAGAACUAGAGUUCGGGAGAGGAUGGUGGAAUUCCCAGUGUAGAGGUGAAAUUCGUAGAUAUUGGGAAGAACACCAGUGGCGAAGGCGGCUCACUGGUCCGAUACUGACGCUGAGGUGCGAAAGCGUGGGGAGCAAACAGG